rnacentral:lncRNA from 1 species
CAUCUCCCCAUCUGAGAAUCAGAGCACCUCACCGUCCUCAUAUGAGCCUGUGGUUUAUCAACGCAGCUCCAGCUAAGGGCUCUGAGUCUGAUUCUCUAUGAUCUGCUGAUUGUGGGAACAUGGCAAAGGUUGUUUAAGGGGGGGGCUGGGCUGGGCCCCUGCCACUGACAGACAGAAAGAAGGUGGCUGGUGGGGGGAGAAAAAGCUGCACCCUGAUCG